rnacentral:lncRNA from 1 species
CUUCCCGCUCGAGGUGGACAGAGGGCUACUGCUUCCUUAAAAACACCCCCAUCGCCUCGUGCCGUGUCCCACCCACCCGCCCUCCACCCUGGAUGUGCCUCCCUUGGGUCAGGCCACCCCUCCUGCCCCUCCAGCCUCUUGUCAGUACUCGUUUAUCUCCCACCUGGGUCACAAACCUAGUCGUGGACCUUGUUUGUGCGAGCAGAGUAUAGCAGCAGACGAGAGCCAGGCCGAAGUGUUCCCAAGGUCCUCGAACCAAACCUUGAAUCUCGUUGCUGGGUGGUGCGGUCUGCCGUCGCCGUAUGAGCAGCGAGGUAGAAGAAGGAAGCAGAUGAGAGGGUUACUGACCUCAGCUGGCUUGAGGGCAGAGCACCCUCCCCACGCCCCCAUUAUGCCCCAGGAUGGCAGUCCAGGCCUCAAGGCCGCCGCAUUGUCCCUGGGCUCCGUGCCUAGCGGAUGACAGUUACAGAAGUUCAUGGUGGAGCAGCUCGUCAAGGCCAGGGCACCUCCCAAGAAAACCAUGGGGUGUGUUUCUGCAGAGCUCUUGGUUUCUCUGCUAGACCCAGAGCCCUGAGGGUACACUCCUUCCACUAGGUGUUGGCUGUCAUGUCCUUACCUUCGAAAAGCCUUUGCGCAUCCCUCGGGAGGCCCCCUUUUUUCAGUAGAAAGUUGGUGGUGGGGGGGGGGGGUGGCCCUUGGCAGUGGCUGGUUGGAGGGGGACCAGGCUGGGCUCAGAGAAGGUGGCAGAGCUUGGCUUUCUCUAAGCCUCUCAUUGUUUCCCUGCUUGUCAAUCAUCACAUUUCCUCCGGAGGAAAACUCUUUCCCCCGCCAAGCCCAGGUCUACACUGACGGACUUAGCAAAGUGCCCUAAGAGCCGUCCACGUCCCCGUGUUUUUGCCAGGAGCUGAGAGCGAUACCUCCCCACGGCUAGCAAACACCGGGGCGGGGCGAGGACCGAACCCUUCCCAGUCCUUUUCUGUCUGCUCUGUGAAUCGUACUUUUCAGAGAAUUUUCUUUUCUACAUGCAACACCAAGCUUCCAGAUCCAUAGAACAUGCUGAUGACAAAGGAGAGAAAAUGUUCCGUGUUGUCUGGUUUUCCGGAAACUGCGCUUCAAAUUCUGCUGUACUAUAGAGCUCAGAAGGACCUGCUGCGUUCUCAUUUGCCUGCCUGGUUCCAUGGUGGUUGUGCUGAUGGUGACGUUGCUCCCUUGGCGUUGGAACCACUCUCUUUCGCAGCCCUGUUUCCCAAGUUUUGUUCAAGUUACAUGUAUGUAAACUCUCCGCGGCACGCUGGGUGCGGCGCCCGCGUCGCUGCUGCGUAAGACUCUGUAUUUGGAUGCCAAUCCACAGGCCUGAUGAAAUCGCUUGUUGUGUAUCAAUAAUCAUUAGUGGCAAUGAUGACAUUCUGAAAAGCUGCAAUACUUAUACAAUAAAUUUUACAAUUCUUUGG